rnacentral:pre_miRNA from 1 species
GCUGUUAUUCGAAGGUCUUCGGACCGCCCCUUCAGUUGACUCGUGAUCCGCCGCCUUUGAUAUAUGGACGAAUCACAGUCACCUGAUGGUACGGUCUUUGAAUUCCUAUAUUAUUAUGGU